UAAGUGCUGAAAGCAUCUAAGCACGAAACUUGCCCCGAGAUGAGUUCUCCCUGACUCUUUAAGGGUCCUGAAGGAACGUUGAAGACGACGACGUUGAUAGGCCGGGUGUGUAAGCGCAGCGAUGCGUUGAGCUAACCGGUACUAAUGAACCGUGAGGCUUAACCUUACAACGCCGAAGCUGUU
rnacentral:rRNA from 1 species